GCAAGUCGAGGGGUAACGAUGUAGCUUGAUACAGGCGACGACCGGCGACGGGUGCGUAACGCGUAUACAACUUGCCCUUAACAGGAGGAAAGCUCAGGGAAACCUGGAUUAAUACUCCAUCGUCUUAUAAAGUCGCAUGGCUUAAUAAGUAAAACUCCGGUGGUUAAGGAUGGGUAUGCGUGACAUUAGCUAGUUGGUGGGGUAAAGGCUCACCAAGGCAACGAUGGCUAGGGGUUCUGAGAGGAUGAUC
rnacentral:rRNA from 1 species